AUACGAAGGGGGCUAGCGUUGUUCGGAAUUACUGGGCGUAAAGCGCGCGUAGGCGGAUUGGUCAGUUAGGGGUGAAAUCCCAGGGCUUAACCCUGGAACUGCCUCUAAUACUGCCAGUCUUGAGUUCGGGAGAGGUGAGUGGAAUUCCUAGUGUAGAGGUGAAAUUCGUAGAUAUUAGGAAGAACACCAGUGGCGAAGGCGGCUCACUGGCCCGAUACUGACGCUGAGGCGCGAAAGCGUGGGGAGCAAACAGGAGUAGAAACCCCAGUAGUCC
rnacentral:rRNA from 1 species